rnacentral:snRNA from 1 species
GGAUGUGAGGGCGAUCUGGCUGCGACAUCUGUCACCCCAUUGAUCGCCAGGGUUGAUUCGGCUGAUCUGGCUGGCUAGGCGGGUGUCCCCCUCCUCCCUCACCGAUCCAUGUGCGUCCCUCCCGAAGCUGAAGCUGCGCGCUCGGUCGAAGAGGACGACCUCCCCCCCCGAGGAGAGGACCGGUCUUCGGUCACGGGUAUACGAGUAGCUGCGCUCCGCUGCUAGAACCUCCAAACAAGCUCUCAAAAUGGCAUCUUCUAAUCAUCCUUAAUCCUUCUUUUUCCCUCCCACUCAG